CUUAACACAUGCAAGUCGAGGGGAAACGACAUCGAAAGCUUGCUUUCGAUGGGCGUCGACCGGCGCACGGGUGAGUAACGCGUAUCCAACCUGCCCAUCACUUGGGGAUAACCUUACGAAAGUAAGACUAAUACCCAAUGACGUCUCUAGAAGACAUCUGAAGGAGAUUAAAGAUUUAUCGGUGAUGGAUGGGGAUGCGUCUGAUUAGCUUGUUGGCGGGGUAACGGCCCACCAAGGCAACGAUCAGUAGGGGUUCUGAGAGGAAGGUCCCCCACAUUGGAACUGAGACACGGUCCAAACUCCUACGGGAGGCAGCAGUGAGGAAUAUUGGUCAAUGGACGAGAGUCUGAACCAGCCAAGUAGCGUGCAGGAUGACGGCCCUAUGGGUUGUAAACUGCUUUUAUAAGGGAAUAAAGUGAGUCUCGUGAGACUUUUUGCAUGUACCUUAUGAAUAAGGACCGGCUAAUUCCGUGCCAGCAGCCGCGGUAAUACGGGAGGUCCGGGCGUUAUCCGGAUUUAUUGGGUUUAAAGGGAGCGUAGGCCGGAGAUUAAGCGUGUUGUGAAAUGUAGAUGCUCAACAUCUGCACUGCAGCGCGAACUGGUUUCCUUGAGUACGCACAAAGUGGGCGGAAUUCGUGGUGUAGCGGUGAAAUGCUUAGAUAUCACGAAGAACUCCGAUUGCGAAGGCAGCUCACUGGAGCGCAACUGACGCUGAAGCUCGAAAGUGCGGGUAUCGAACAGGAUUAGAUACCCUGGUAGUCCGCACGGUAAACGAUGGAUGCCCGCUGUUGGUCUGAAUAGGUCAGCG
rnacentral:rRNA from 1 species